CACAUGCCAGUUCGAAGCGUAGNAAAGUCUUCGNGACGAGAUAAAGCGGCGGCACGGGCUGAGCUCAUACCAUAGGCUAAUCGUACCUUGUAAGUACGGAAUAACAUAUGCGAAAGCGUAGCUAAUACCGCUAUGUGGUUUCAUAACGUUGGUUGUGAAGAGAAAGGGGGGUCGUAAGAUCUCUCGCUACAAGAUGAGCCUGGGCCCGAUUAGCUAGUUGGUAAGGUAAUGGCUUACCAAGGCUUCGAUCGGUAGCUGAUCUGAGAGGAUGAUCAGCCACACUGGAACUGACACACGGUCCAGACUCCUACGGGAGGCAGCAGUGGGGAAUAUUGCGCAAUGGGGGAAACCCUGACGCAGCGACGCCGCGUGGGUGAUGAAGGCCUUCGGGUUGUAAAGCCCUGUCGGCUGGGAACAAGAUAGUCGUGCUCAUACCACGAUUGUUUGAGUGUACCAGCAAAGGAAGCACCGGCUAACCCUGUGCCAGCAGCCGCGGUAAUACAGGGGGUGCUAGCGUUGUUCGGAAUUACUGGGCGUAAAGGGCGCGUAGGCGGUUUUGUAAGUCAGGAGUGAAAUCCCGGAGCUUAACUUCGGAAUUGCUUUUGAAACUACAAGGCUAGAGUGAGUUAGAGGAUGGCGGAAUUCCUAGUGUAGUGGUGAAAUACGUAGAUAUUAGGAAGAACACCGGUGGCGAANGCGGCCAUCUGGGACUCAACUGACGCUGAGGCGCGAAAGCGUGGGGAUCAAACAGGAUUAGAUACCCUGGUAGUCCACGCUGUAAAACUAUAGGUACUCNCUG
rnacentral:rRNA from 1 species